rnacentral:rRNA from 1 species
UACGAAGGGUGCAAGCGUUAUUCGGAAUCACUGGGCGUAAAGAGUGCGUAGACGGUAUGUUAAGUUUGUUGUUAAAGACUCUAGCCUAACUGGAGGGUUGCAAUGAAAACUGGCGUGCUAGAGGGUGAGAGAGAGAAGUGGAAUUCCUGGAGUAGCGGUAAAAUGCGUGGAUCUCAGGAGGAACACCAAUGGCGAAGGCAGCUUCUUGGCUCAUAUCUGACGUUGAGGCACGAAAGCGUGGGGAGCGAACAGG